rnacentral:rRNA from 1 species
UACGAAGGGGGCUAGCGUUAAUCGGAAUUACUGGGCGUAAAGCGUGCGCAGGCGGUGAUGUAAGACAGAUGUGAAAUCCCCGGGCUCAACCCUGGGAACUGCAUUUGUGACUGCAUCGCUGGAGUGCGGCAGAGGGGGAUGGAAUUCCGCGUGUAGCAGUGAAAUGCGUAGAUAUGCGGAGGAACACCGAUGGCGAAGGCAAUCCCCUGGGCCUGCACUGACGCUCAUGCACGAAAGCGUGGGGAGCAACAGG